CGCCGCCGCUGCCUGAGGCGCGGGCAGCUCCUCGGCGGCCUGCGGAGGCAGAGGCCCCGGCGCAGAUCUGUCGUUUGGUACUGUAUAUGCAAAGGAAGCAGCCAAAGAGCUGCAUGGGAGUCCAACUUACCAUGACUGACCUGUGUUUCACUUCGUACUGAGCAGGGAAAGAUUCAGUUUACAUAUCCCAUCUCUCAGAAAAUACUGUCAGAGACUGGAUGUUUUUAAAUCCGUGAACAGCAUAGGAGUUUGAGGAACAGUCCACUGAGUAGCCAUCUCGGAUAAAAAUCUUUCCUGGAGAGACUUAUGCCUUAGUCUGGUACAUCCUCUGUGGCUGCCUCCAGGUUUCCACUAUUCAAGAAAGUAACAUGACUGGCCAGUGUUCCUCUUUGUGAUUUAGAAGCCCGCACCAAAAAUUAAGUCUCAUUUUGUACUCUGACAGCUUGAGAGAGCUUUGAACUGCGAACACUGGAGCUACCUUCAGAUACGGGCACAGAGCAUUGCAUCAGCUAUACAGAAUUCAUGUUUCCACGCUCACAAGAUAACUACUUCAAAAUCUAAGACUGAAUGGAAAAAGCUGAGAAAUCCCGUCAGCUGAGCAGCAGGUCCCUGACAAUCUGAAGAAUUCUGAAACCUGUCCCUUCGGCCUCCCCCAGGAGACGAGUCGCAGGCAGCGGCCAGACAGAGGCACCAGGUAACAUCCUGAAGACUUAAAGAAACCCUGACUGCAUGCUCCCUGCCUUCUCUGCCUCUGCCCCCAAGUCACAUUUGACUCUGUAAUUCACCUACCUUUGGAAAUCUGCAAAAUCUCACCUGUGACAGCUCUGCUGACAAACAGGGGAGAUCAGAGUCUUUCAUCUGGGUGAUGAACUGCCAGCCUGUCAGAACGGUGGCGUAUCUGUACUGUGCUGAGACAGGUCAGGGCUGCCGCAGGGGGUCUGCGUUCUGACCUUGGGAAGGUUUGAGGAGGACUUUCAGCCGUACCUGUUGUUAACUGUCGGGGUCUACAGGACAGUGAGUGCAUUUGUGUGAGAGAGAGAUACACAGCAACAUGCAAGAGAUACAUCCCUGAGCGCACACACAGGUCAGAGAACAUUAGAGAGACUGGGCUCCCCCACUACCUACAAUCAUACUCCAUUUCUCAAAUGAGAGCCUCCCGCAGUGGAUGAUUAAUUGGCAGGCGUUGCCAAAGUAAACAAUCCUGGAUGGCUAUUUGGAAAGCAGAGGAGAGAAGAAAGAGGCAGCGAGUCAGAACUGGUCCAAAUGUGUCCAGACAAGCACCAUGUAUGAAUUGAUAUGCGUUAAGGGCCAUGUGCUGCCAGAGAGGAAAAUCUCAGUGAAAAAGAGGCUAUUUGUUGAGAGACAAGCACAAAAGAGACAACUACAAGGUCUUCUUUUUGACCAAAGUUGCCACACCUGCAUCCUUGAGCCUUUAGGGGGAGCGGGUCAUGAGCUUAGCAUUAAUCACUUCCCCUUUUGAUUUAUUUCCAAAGUUUUGAAGUUGGAGGAGGCAUCUGAGUAAUUCAAACCUUAGCGAUUUCAAGCACAUCAGUCCUUUAUUGCUCUGAAGUAGAUAGUUUAAACUCCAGCCAGCUUGCUGUGUGGGACCCUAUCAGGCACGAUCCCAAAAGAAACUCCCUUCCUUUUGUGCUGCCCUGGUCACUGGAAACCCCACGUCUCUCUCUGGAGAUGUUCAGAAUUUGCUCCAGGCCUAUAAAGAAAAUUGUGCCCAGCAGUUGCGUUGCAGCCAGAUGACUGUGCCUAUUCACUUUUGUGAAGGCCCUGAGUGCGCUGCCAACAUGUAUUCUGAAUGUAAUUUAUGUGUGGCCUGGAUAUUUUUCCCCCAUCAGUCGUGCAGGGUUGGGGCUCUGAGAAAAUGCCGUAGAUCUUACAGUGCCUUCUGUCUGCUUCCCUGACUGAAGGUAAGGGAAGAACAAGCCAGACCAUUUGUAUAUGAAGCUCUUCCUUCCCUAUCCCAUCUCUGUACUGAUUUGGUCAGCAGUUAGCUGCUGAAUGCCCCUUUUUCUGCUUCCUGCUUUUCUGACUCAGAUGACUUGUAAGAGUUCAGACCUUCGCUCUUCAGCUGCUGCUUGCUCAUUGCUGGAUGCUUCAGCUUCCUUUCGCCAUGCAAUGCAGCGAGGGCUCACAUAGCUUGUUCUGCUCGAAGCUGAGCGAGCUCCUGGUGCAACAGGAUAUUCCACCAUAAGUCUCCUCUACCAGGCAGCCCACAAUUCAGGGAUGGAGAGGCUGGGCUACUGAUAGCUAGACCUGAGCAGGAGUCUCACAUGCUCAGUACUGCCACAGGCCUCCUCUUUGCCCUAGCAGUCUCCUGAAUGCUGGGGUACAAGCUCUCGCUUGCCCUUGGCGUCUCCACGCCAGGGACGGAUUCCAGAUGGACGCUUCCCCAACGCUGGCCUACAGGCAUGUUUCAUGCAGCAUUGAUGGGGUGUUAAAGAUGCUAAAAUUUCAGGCAAGCUUCUAAGGCAUGCUGGGUUGGGGAUGGGAAGAGCUAGUUUUUAAUCAAGAGCUGAUGAAAACCAGACACUUCUACCUGUAGCACAGCCAGGGGAACUAUCUGUGCACCUAGAAGAGGGAGGCAAAAGUAGAGUAUCUGCCCACGGUCAACCUACUGAACCACUGCUGGAGCGCCGCAGUUUACUAGACUUCAGCUUGAAUCAGUGAGGAAGCCCUUUUUUGGCUGGACAGUGCCUUGAGUGACCGAGCUUCCCAACAGCAUGUCUCCCCACCGCAAAGGAGCAGCCCUGAGGGGGCGCGGCCCCGCCCCCAACGGCCGCAGCUCGCGCCCCCAACGGCCGCGGCUCGGGCCCCCAACGGCCGCAGCCCGGGCCCCCAACGGCCGCAGCGCGCGGGCCAAUCCGGGCCGGGCCGGGCGCAGCGGGUGCCGAGCGCC